UCUAAGUAUAAGCAAUUUAUACCGUGAAACUGCGAAUGGCUCAUUAAAUCAGUUAUCGUUUAUUUGAUAAUACCUUACUACUUGGAUAACCGUGGUAAUUCUAGAGCUAAUACAUGCUGAAAAUCCCGACUUCGGAAGGGAUGUGUUUAUUAGAUAAAAAACCAAUGCCCUUCGGGGCUUUUUGGUGAUUCAUGAUAACUUUACGGAUCGCAUAGCCUUGCGCUGGCGACGGUUCAUUCAAAUUUCUGCCCUAUCAACUUUCGAUGGUAAGGUAUUGGCUUACCAUGGUUUCAACGGGUAACGGGGAAUUAGGGUUCGAUUCCGGAGAGGGAGCCUGAGAAACGGCUACCACAUCCAAGGAAGGCAGCAGGCGCGCAAAUUACCCAAUCCCGACACGGGGAGGUAGUGACAAUAAAUACUGAUACAGGGCUCUUUUGGGUCUUGUAAUUGGAAUGAGUACAAUUUAAACCUCUUAACGAGGAACAAUUGGAGGGCAAGUCUGGUGCCAGCAGCCGCGGUAAUUCCAGCUCCAAUAGCGUAUAUUAAAGUUGUUGCAGUUAAAAAGCUCGUAGUUGAAACUUGGGCCUGGCUGGCGGGUCCGCCUCACCGCGUGCACUCGUCCGGCCGGGCCUUNCCUUCUGAAGNNCCUCAUGCCCUUCACUGGGUGUGUUGGGGAAUCAGGACUUUUACUUUGAAAAAAUUAGAGUGUUCAAAGCAGGCCUUUGCUCGAAUACGUUAGCAUGGAAUAAUAAAAUAGGGCGUGCGUUUCUAUUUUGUUGGUUUCUAGAGACGCCGCAAUGAUUAACAGGGACAGUCGGGGGCAUCAGUAUUCAGUUGUCAGAGGUGAAAUUCUUGGAUUUACUGAAGACUAACUACUGCGAAAGCAUUUGCCAAGGAUGUUUUCAUUAAUCAGUGAACGAAAGUUAGGGGAUCGAAGACGAUCAGAUACCGUCGUAGUCUUAACCGUAAACUAUGCCGACUAGGGAUCGGGCGAUGUUCUUUUNCUGACUCGCUCGGCACCUUACGAGAAAUCAAAGUUUUUGGGUUCU
rnacentral:rRNA from 1 species